UACGUAGGGACCAAGCGUUGUUCGGAUUUACUGGGCGUAAAGGGCGCGUAGGCGGCGUGUCAAGUCAAUUGUGAAAUCUCCGGGCUUAACUCGGAACGGUCAAUUGAUACUGAUGUGCUAGAGUACAGAAGGGGCAAUCGGAAUUCUUGGUGUAGCGGUGAAAUGCGUAGAUAUCAAGAGGAACACCUGAGGUGAAGACGGGUUGCUGGGCUGAUACUGACGCUGAGGCGCGAAAGCUAGGGUAGCAAACGGGAUUAGAAACCCCCGUAGUCC
rnacentral:rRNA from 1 species